rnacentral:rRNA from 1 species
UACCAGACUCCUACGGGAGGCAGCAGUGGGGGAUAUUGCACAAUGGGGGGAACCCUGAUGCAGCGACGCCGCGUGAGUGAAGAAGUAUCUCGGUAUGUAAAGCUCUAUCGGCAGGGAAGAAAAAUGACAGAACCUGACUAAGAAGCCCCGGCUAACUACGUGCCAGCAGCCGCGGUAAAACGUAGGGGGCAAGCGUUAUCCGGAUUUACUGGGUGUAAAGGGAGCGUAGGCGGCCAUGCAAGUCAGAAGUGAAAACCCGGGGCUCAACCCUGGGAGUGCUUUUGAAACUGUGCGGCUAGAGUGUCGGAGGGGUAAGUGGAAUUCCUAGUGUAGCGGUGAAAUGCGUAGAUAUUAGGAGGAACACCAGUGGCGAAGGCGGCUUACUGGACGAUGACUGACGCUGAGGCUCGAAAGCGUGGGGAGCAAACAGGAUUAGAUCCCCCCGUA